AAACCAACAGGGAUUGCCUUAGUAACGGCGAGUGAAGCGGCAAAAGCUCAAAUUUGAAAUCUGGCACCUUCGGUGUCCGAGUUGUAAUUUGAAGAAGGUAACUUUGGAGUUGGCUCUUGUCUAUGUUCCUUGGAACAGGACGUCACAGAGGGUGAGAAUCCCGUGCGAUGAGAUGCCCAAUUCUAUGUAAAGUGCUUUCGAAGAGUCGAGUUGUUUGGGAAUGCAGCUCUAAGUGGGUGGUAAAUUCCAUCUAAAGCUAAAUAUUGGCGAGAGACCGAUAGCGAACAAGUACAGUGAUGGAAAGAUGAAAAGAACUUUGAAAAGAGAGUGAAAAAGUACGUGAAAUUGUUGAAAGGGAAGGGCUUGAGAUCAGACUUGGUAUUUUGCGAUCCUUUCCUUCUUGGUUGGGUUCCUCGCAGCUUACUGGGCCAGCAUCGGUUUGGAUGGUAGGAUAAUGACUAAGGAAUGUGGCUCUACUUCGGUGGAGUGUUAUAGCCUUGGUUGAUACUGCCUGUCUAGACCGAGGACUGCGUCUUUGACUAGGAUGUUGGCAUAAUGAUCUUAAGCCAC
rnacentral:rRNA from 3 species